rnacentral:rRNA from 1 species
CUACGGGAGGCAGCAGUGGGGAAUAUUGCACAAUGGGGGAAACCCUGAUGCAGCGACGCAGCGUGCGGGAUGACGGCCUUCGGGUUGUAAACCGCUUUCAGCAGGGAAGAAGCCCCUUGGGGUGACGGUACCUGCAGAAGAAGUACCGGCUAACUACGUGCCAGCAGCCGCGGUA